rnacentral:lncRNA from 10 species
CAGCUGCAAGCCACCGCGCCAGGCCGAAAUAUUAAUAUUUUAAAGUCUGUUGAACAAAACUAUCACAUCAAAAGACUGAUAAAUACUUUUAUAUUUAAUGUACCAAUCUUAUAAAAACUGUGUGAAAUAAAUAUUAUUGAAGUUCACAGAGAUUGUGACCUGAACAGAAUUUAUUUUUGUUUGCUCAUUUAAUUUUUAAGUUCGAGGAUACAUGCGCAAGUUUAUUAUAUAGGUAAACUUGUGUCAUGAGAGUUUGUUUUACAGAUUAUUUCAUCACCCGGGAAUUAAGCCUAGUACCCAUUAGUUAUUUUUCCUGAUCCUCUCCCUCCUCCCAUCCUCCAUGCUCCUACUGGAUCCAGUGUCUGUUGUUUUCCUCUAUGUGUCCGUGUUUUCUCAUCAAUUAACUCCCACUUAUAAAUGAGAACAUGAGGUAUUUGGUUUUCUGUUCCCAUGUUAGUUUGGAAGGAUAAUGGCCUCCAGCUCCAACAAAGUUCCUGCAAAGGACGUGACCUUGCUCUUUUUUGUGGUUGCAUAGUAUUCCAUAGUGUUUAUGUACCACAUUUUCUUUAACCAUUCUACCACUGAUGGGCAUUUAGGUUGAUUCCAUGUCUUUGCUAUUGUGAAUAGUCUGAACAGAGUUUGAUAAUAAUCUUUUUUCUCAAAGCUCCUGUGCUUGCCACACCCUCCCUCUUCUUGCUACCAAGCCUGUCUCACCUUCGAUCCUUUGUUUUUCAGUGGAAUUGUUACACUACUUCGGAUGAAAUUUGUGGAUUUGUUCCUGAAGCUGCAUGAGAUGAGGUUCUCAGGAGUCUUCACAGAGUGAUGGUCUUUUGACCACUAUCAAGACCAACUGCUUCACCUGCCACAGGUGCUAAUAGAAUAAAGGGAAAGAAGGAAAAAAUCACCAGGGAAAUGCAACUUUUGAUGAGAUGAAUGAUUUAACUGUCUGAUUAUAAAACCGGACCCACCCCAUUGCUCUAUCUAGGUGGAAGAUUUCCACAUACAUUUUUAUUGUUUUUUACUGAUUCUAGUUUAUGGGGGUAAAAAUUUUAUAAUGUAUGAUGUGAUUUCAAUUCUUUCCAUAUAUCAAAGUCAUAUUCUUUUCAACCUCUGAGGCCAAAACCGGACAAAGUCAUUCUAGAUAGACACCAACUCUCAUUCUUUCUAUGACUGACCUGGUCGAACUUUGAAGAAAUGAAAGGAUUCUAAUUCCACAUUCAGAAAAGUUUUGAAUUUUUGAUUUUGGAAAAAGUAGAAAACAAAAUCAUUAACAAAAGUAGGUCACUUGAAUGAGGUCUUCUCCUUUGGUCAAGACACAGAAUGAUAAGCUAUUAGGAAAAGAGUGCUUAUACCACAGAUUGUACCAUGGUUGGCAAGGGUUGGUGGAAUUUGUUUUAUUAAGGGACACUUCCAGCAGAUUUUCUAAGACUCUAUUUCUCCAAGAUCAGCUUUUUAAAGGAAUCAGAUCUAUAACUGAGCACCAUGACCAGCAAGAUCAUUUUCAUGUGUCUUUUUAGAGAAGUUUAUUGUCCUUUGAAGUGUUCAACAAGUUAAGAAUGCAGCAGUAAGUUGGCAGGAAGCCACUCUGUAGAUAGCAUCCCAUGAUGAUUUCUGCACAAUUAAAGAUGGUAGCUAAAGGCCCUUAGAGUGUGACCUGAAGAAAAAAUAGCCAAUACUGUCCCAUGUGCUUGGCUGCAUUUUAUUAGCAAUGUUCUCUCUCUACCUGCUUGGUAUAUAAUAGAUGUGGCAUUUUUUUAAAGUAGUAGACUGGCCCAUUCUUAAAUGAUGCUGUGAGUAAUUGCCUUCAUUGCAGAAAAACAGAAUUAUAGAUUUAUUUCAUACCACAAACAAAAAUAAUACCAAUUCCAUUAAAGAUCCUCAUGAAGGAGUGCUGAGAACUUGUAGGACUAAUGUAGGAAGAAUAUCUUUUUACUAUCAGGAAACAAAAGAAUUUCUUAAACAAGAUGAAAAAAACACAAUAUUCCAAAUAAAAUGAUAUAUUUAGCAAUGAUAAAAAUAAAUAGCUUUGGUAUAAUAAAAGAAAUCAAAAACAAAAUUAAAAGACAAACCACAGAUUAAAAUAAUAAAAGAUUAAAAGAUAACAUAUCAAUGACUGGUUUGCAUUCACAAUCAGCAAGGUACCUCAAAAAUCAUUAAGCAAAACACAAAUGAGCCAACAGGUGAAAUUGGGCAAAGAAUAGAAGGAGAAAAUUGAAUGGCAACAAACUUAUGAAAUGUACCACCUCAUUAGUAAUGAGAGAAAUUCAAAUUAAAAUAAUGAAUACCAAUAUCAAUUUCUGGCCAGGAUGUAGAGAAAUAUGGACUCCCAUUCUGACAUUACUGGGACUUGCCAUAUGCUGGGAAUCGGCAAAGCACAUCCCAUUACUCAUAGACAGUUGUAUAUGAGUAAAUAAACUGUAACACAUGCAAGAGACAAAUAUACAUCAGCAUAAACUGGAGGUUGCCUUUAGGAAGGAUAAUAGAGUGAUAUAGGCAUAUAAACAGUGGAGACAGUGACAAAGAAGCUUUGUCUGCAUCUGAUACCUUUUAAAUUGAGAGACAGACACAGAGAGACAGAGAGAUCUGAACCAUGAGUAUAGCUGUUAGAUUGUGCAUCUUCUUCAGCCUUCUUACCACUACCCUUUAGUAGUCUCCUCGCAGAACUCAUGUCCUACUAUAUGUAUAAAUGUUCAAACCAAGUUGGGGUAAUGAUUAUUAUUCCUUUUAACAUACAAUGAAACAAAGUGGGAGCCAUUAAUUGACUUGCCCAAAGCUAGCAAUUGAGGCAGUUGGAAUUAGAACCCAGACUUGAUAUGUCACAAGAACAUUUUCUGUCAAGGCAUCCUACCAGCUACAUCUAAUGAUGAACCUAGGGAGGGACUGGCAAGCAGCAUCUGUGGCUCAGAGGGAAGGCAGUGGUGUGCAUCCAGACAGGAGGUCCAGUCCAAGCUCUGCCAUAUAUACUCUCAUGGACUCAAAAAGUUACAUGAGCCCUCUAAGUCUUAGUUUACCCAUCUCUAAAAGAGAUCCAGUAACACCUGCAGAAUGGUAUUGUAAGGGUCAAAUGUGAUGCUAAAUAUAAUGUACUUUAUCAAUGCAUGACUACAGACAAAUUAUUUUAGAAGAAUGUCUUACGGUUCUCCAGAGGCACAGAACUAAUAGGAUGUUUGUGUAUAUGAAAGGGUGUUUAUUAGGGGCCCAGCGCAGUGGCUCACACCUGUCAUCCCAGCACUUUGGGGGGCUGAGGUGGGGGGAUGGGUUGAGGUCAGGAGUUUGAGACCAGCCUGCCCAACAUGGUGAAACACCAUCUCUACCAAAAAUACAAAACUUAACCAGGAGUGGUGGUGCGCAUCUGUAAUCCUAGCUACUGGGGAGGCUGAGGCACGAGAAUCGCUUGAACCCAAGAGACGUAGGUUUCAGUGAGCAGAGAUUGCACCACUUCACUCCAGCCUGAGUGACAGAGGGAAACUGUCUCAGAAAAUAAACAAUAAAAUGGGAGUUUAUUAGGGAGAAUUAGCUCAUAUGAUCACAAGACGAAGUCCCACGAUAGGCUGUCUGCAAGCUCAGCCCCAGUCCAAAAGCCUCAAAUGCAGGGAAACCAACAGUGCAGCCUUUUGUCUAUAACUGAAGGCCAGAGAGCCCCUGGCAAACUACUGGUGUAAGUCCAAUAGUCCAAAGGCUGAGGAAUCUGGAGUCUGAUGUCCAAGGGCAGGAGGAACAGAAGGAAACAUCCAGCAUGGGAGACAGAUGAAAGCCAGAAGUCCCACUAAGACUUAGCCCUCUUUCUUCCAACUACUUUGUUAUAGCCACGCUGGCAGCCAAUUUGAUGGUGCCCACCCACAUUGAGGGUGAGUCUUCCUCUCCCAGUCCACUGACUAAAACACCCUCACAGACAUACCCAGAAACAAUACUUUACCAGCUAUCUAGGUAUCCUUCAGUCCAAUCAAGUUGACACAUAAAAAUAGCCAUCGCAAAGAGGAAGUAAUCUCUUCUGAUUAGGAAUUAGCAAUCCUAAAAUCCCCAUUACCUAGCACAGUGCCUUGCACCUAAUAAGUAUUCAAUAAAUAUUUGUUGAUGGUGAUGUUGACCUUGUCCACACAGAACACUAGAAGUCAACCAGAUCUGGCAGUUCUCUAUCAAAGUCCCAUACAAAUACAUUACCCUACAAAGUAGUAAAAGAUCCCAGGCUAGUACAGAAAAAUAAUGUAAUGCAUUAAUCUGUCACUGCAUGAAAUUUUUCUAUGAUACCUGGUCUUUUAGUCUUUGGAUGAGUACGCCUCCUUAUAUGGCAACAACAUUGUAAUAUUUUCUAAAGGGAUGAAAGAUACUGUUUGUCCCUCAGCAUCAAAGAAGCCAUUCCUAAGGCAGACAGCUAACAAUAACUUGACUAUAUUUAGAAGAGAUUGCUAACUAAACAUAUUCCUCUAAUUCUAAACUUGACAAUUAGCUGCCCAGCUCCAUUCCUCUUUACCCAGUAAUCUCUAGCGCUACUUCAGUAUCACUGGACGAGGGGAAAAGUGUGAGGAAUGGAGGAGAAGCAUACAAAGAGUCAGAGUUCUUAAUUGGCUGUUAUCAAAAUAUGGUAUUUUGCAAAGUUUGUGAAAACAUAAGACCAGGUGAACAUAUCGUUAAUUCCUUUCCUGGGGUCCUGGAAAGGGCUUGGGCAGGUGAUGGGCCCUGAAGCUUCAUUUCAUCAGCCUCAGGAUUAAUCUGCCUCCAUCUCUCUUCCAAGCAGCACUCUCCAUUGUGUGUCCCCCAAGUGCCGAGAUACUCCAAGGGAGAGGCAAAGUAGCUGGUAAUAAAGAGGAGGAGCUUCCCUCCCUGUCCCACAGGUGAGUUUCUAUUGGCCUAGUAAUAAUCUUGGUUGACAAGCCUGCCUGAAAAUUGGCGAGAAUUUCAAGUCUCCUCUCCAGUGGAAACUGUAGAAGAGAACACUCCCUUCCUGCCAAAGCUCAUGCUCUUCCACUGUUAAAGAAAUUAAAAUCCAAAUGCCAUCUCAUUGAUGUUUAAAGUAAAUGAGCCUGACAGAAAUGGCUUCUAUUGUUUUUUGAAGAGAAUUUCAUGACUCCAUGACAAUGCAUUAGAUAUUUCAGAAAAUGCUUCAACACUCUGAGGCUAGAGAGGCCCUGCUGGCACUAGUAAAGCUGUGUGUUACUACCCUGGGCACUAAAGGGAAGGUAUGGAUUCAACGCAGGUGAAUUAGCUUUCCUGUUGAGUCUCCAUGAACGGAUCCUUCCAUGUGCUACACGGAACCUGGCGGCUUAAAGAAUCACUGCAUGCCUAGAGCAAAAUAACAUAUAUGUGAUUAUAACCAGCGAGUAUAUUUGGCACAGAGAGAAAUAGGGCUCAGCAUGAAAUCCAGCUCUCCUUUGCCUUUCCAUCUAUGCCACAAGGAAGAGGGAACUGGAGGUUCACACAGGGACAGCUUCACAGAGAAAGCAACUUAAAAAAAAAAAAAAAGCCCUUAAAACCAAACCACAACCAUUCUCACACUAACCUGGCCCUGUAGAGCCCUAAUUCCAGUAACACCCUUGGAUUGCAUCCACUCUUCCCAAGGCUCUCUCCCAAGACGGAGCAAGCUGAGGAGUGCCUUUUUGCUCAAAAGAGACACUGAAGAACAGCAUUCAGCAACGUGGUUCUUGCAGGCAGAUGAGCCAAGUAAACAACUCCGAUGAGCAGACUAGUUCUUUCUAAUUCACUAAUUAACUGGCCUCAGAUUUAUAGGAUACCAUGCCACAGAGGCACCAAAAUUUGCCUUCUCCCAAUAUAGCCUCUGAAAAAAAAGAAUGGUUCUAUACUUAAAUAUAACAGGUGCAUUCUAACUUACACCUGUAUAUUUAUGAUUCCAUAUUUCAUAUAUUUUCCAUGAUUCUAAUAUUUAAUGUAAUCAGGCAAUUCAUUAUUUAAAGGACAUACACAGAGAAAUGCAACAACCUCAGUAAGCAUCAUAUCUACCAUGGAAAUGAGCCCAGGCAUGAGGCAGACCAUGCUGAAAUCAACAUUUUCCUCAUGGUUUAAAUUGAAGAAUAAUCACAGAUACAUUUUUGGAUGAAGUCAUUUAAGAUAACAUGCUGUAUAAUUGGUAAUAAAAGUGAAACAAUCAGAAAAAUGUAUAUGCCACAUUAUCUCUUUCCUCCAUUCAGGUGACAAUUCCAACAUAUUUGCAUAUUGGCCGUAAGUGGAUUUACACGUGUUAUAUUUAUUAAGAUAUUGUAAAAGCCAGAGGGAAACAUUCAUAAACAUCACUCAAUAACACUUAAUCUUUUUAAUGGUUAAAUGGUCAAAAUGGCAUCAGUGCAAUGGAAAAAAAGAAAUUAGUAACAAUAAGUUGAAGCCAUUAAACUACCUUCUAACUAACAUUCUCUUUCUUCUAUGGUUUUAUCUCAACUACAUCAACAGUUCACUUAAUUUCUUCAGGAAAGGAAGGUAAUUUAAAAAGCUAUUUGGUUCUGAAAUAUUUACUGCCCUUACUUAAUGCAAUUUAGAAAUCUUAAUAUCUCUUACCUUUAUUUAUAUAAAUACAAAGUAAAACUUUGAAAUGCCAAAAAACACAUUCACAUAAAACUGUAGGUAGUUUUCAAACAUUUUAUGUUUAUACAAUUUUUUAAAAGAUAAACAGAUCAAGUAAACAGAGACUAGAUGGAUUGCUCCCUCUUCUGGUAAAUCUAUGUAUUUUAAAACAAAAAGCAUUUAGAAAUGAAGCACUUAGUUCACAGUAGAUUUAAUCAUCCAAGGAUAUAAAUGUCGCUAUAAACUAUUUAAAAUAGACUAUAGUUAUUAAUAGAGCCCCCAAAGUGGGACCUUAGAGAAUAGCUUUAAAAUCGGAUCUUUGAGGGCUAAAGUUAAGUUUUCUUGCCUUUGUUAAGUAGUGAAAUUUUUUUACCCAAAGAACACAAGAAGCAUUCCCUUGACCACUAUACUUGCAUAUAAUUAUGAUUCAGAUUAAAAUUCAAGAUAUUUGGGAAGCAGUAGAUGCGUGCUGUGGGGGGAGCAGAGGGAAAGGGAGUAAACUACUGAAGUAAAAAUAUGCUUUUCUACUCAUUUAUAAAGAAGUUGAAAGAAAUAUAUUACCACGACUCACUUUCCCCUGAAGUUUUGUUUAUUUAACUUUGCCUCUUGCUCAGCAAGGCAGAUUAGGAAUGAAGAUAACCUGACGUAAUAUGUUAUAACCAAAGGAAAGAAACCAGGCACUUUGGAAGAAAUGAUGAAAAUUGAUAUUUUGUUAUUUUUUCUCCUCUAUCUUGUAUUGACUGUUGGUUAUUACUGAGGGCCAUUCAUUUAUGAAGGAAUGAUGGCCUAAAGCAAAUUUGUAAAUCAUUGAUUUAGAAUUUGUGUGUGUGUGUUUUCUAGAGAAUUAAGAUUGUAAAUGGUGGUGUGUGUCUUUGCUAGUUCUUAAACAGUCAAAUAAACAUGUACCAGAAUAGAAAAAAUGAUCACUUUGCUGCUUUGUAUAGUCAUUUAGGGAAAUGCUUUGACAGACUACUUUGGAGGAGGUAUUGCAGUAGCCGUGAGGAUUUAGUCCACAAAGAAACCUGAACUGCCAGAUUAGAAGUGUGCCAUGUGUUGCGUAAUAGGUAAGGAACUGGGAGAGUGAUAAGAGAAAGCCCGUGCAUUAUAGCAGAAGAGCAGAAGCUGGAGGAAAGAUGGGCAAAGUGACUGCCCCAAGUCAAAUAAAUAAAGAACUUCUAAGAAUAAUGAUGUCUUGUUUUGUAAAAUCCCUUUAUUUUCCCCAGCCUUGAUUUAAAAUAGCAGGAGAGCUGGCGCCCCCUAGAGGACCAUUUUUGAAAUUUGUUAGGGUUUGUGGUGUGGGGUAUUAUUUAUCUUCAUCGUUUGGUUGUGAGGUGGAGAAGAAGCUCUUGGCCUAGUGUGGCUAGUGGCCAAGGAUGCCAGACAACAGGAAUGUCCUUAUUCCAAGUGAGCUCCCGAGGUAUUUUCCUAAACAAAACAUGCUUUUCCUUCCAGAUGUAAAAACAUUUUCUUCAAACAGCUACAUUUAAUAUAUCUGCAUGUUAAUUCAUCUUUUAAAUCUGAUUUAAGAAACUUACUAUUUGUGACUUUGUUUCUAAAAACCAAAACCAAACAAAAAAGAGAGAUAAAGAAACAAGAAGAAAUAAAUACAGAUUCUCUCCGUGUGUGUAUGUGUGUAUAUAUGCCUAAAAUAUGUCUUUGGCCAUAAUUUUCAAUUGUUAAAUAUAAAAAUGUGAUAAGAAUAUUUAAUUGAAUGUUUGAGAGUAGACUUUAAAACUUAGCUCACAAAUGAAGGUUCACAGUUUAUUGUGAGCUAAGUUUUAAAAUCGUUACUUUUUUUCUGUUACUUUUUAAUCUUGACAAAGAAACCUGUCAAGAUUAAACAUUCUACAAAAAAACAGUUUUAAAGUUGGCAAAAAAUAUAUAUGGCACUUUUAAGAUUUUUAAUGAAAAAUUUGAAAAUUGUAAGCACACUGAGUGGAGUAUUUUGAAAAAUCUCAUUAAAAGAAGAAAGUUCUAGUUGACAAUUAUAGAACAGCACAAAUAACAAAUUGUAGUGAGCCCCAUACUGCUGGAGAAAAUUUAAUAUUAUAAUAAUCCAAGACAUUAUUAGGACAUCUUAGGAUGGAGGGAAAUACAAAUUAUAUAAUUUCUGUGCCUCUGUUAUGAUAUUUUGUUCAAUAUUUGAUAUUAUAUAGAUUUUUGAUUUAAUUAAGA